CCUGGUGGCUCAGAGGGUAAAGCGUCUGCCUGCAAUGCAGGGGACCUGGGUUCGAUCCCUGGGUCAGGA
rnacentral:tRNA from 1 species